GAUGACUUGUUAUCUGGUGAUUUACCAUCAUGACAUAAAAUUGUGUUAUUGACAUCACAUGCAUUCACCAUUUCACAACUUGUAUUGUUGUCCAUAUAGCUUUUCAAAACGGGAUGGUAAUUUUCCAAAUCUGCUUCAUGUAGUAGAACUUGUAUUGUUGUCCAUAUAGCUUUUCAAAACGGGAUGGUAAUUUUCCAAAUCUGCUUCAGCUGGGUUGCAUCUACUGCCAGUACCAUUAACAUUUCUUUGCACGGGUCCGCAUCUACUCACUGAAUUUGAGACUAAAGGCAACU
rnacentral:lncRNA from 1 species